rnacentral:lncRNA from 1 species
CUCAGUAAUUGGCCGACAAAAGCAUCACCGACAAAAGACAAAGGACAGCUCAAAAGAAAAAAGCAUCAAGUGACGCAGCGAUGCACUCAGUAAUUGGCCAAUAAAAGCAUCACCGACAAAAGACAAAGGACAGCUCAAAAGAAAAAGCAUCAAGUGACACCGACAAAAGACAAAGGACAGCUCAAAAGAAAAAGUAUCAAAUUGAAUUGAAGAAAAAUUUGAAAUCCGCUUCUAUAAAUAGAGCUAUGUAUUUCAU